rnacentral:rRNA from 1 species
CCUACGGGGGGCAGCAGUGAGGAAUAUUGGUCAAUGGACGAGAGGCUGAACCAGCCAAGUCGCGUGAGGGAAGACGGCCCUACGGGUUGUAAACCUCUUUUGUCGGGGAGCAAACCGAAACACGCGUGGUUGAUUGAGAGUAUCCGAAGAAAAAGCAUCGGCUAACUCCGUGCCAGCAGCCGCGGUAAUACGGAGGAUGCGAGCGUUAUCCGGAUUUAUUGGGUUUAAAGGGUGCGAAGGCGGAGGUACAAGUGAGCGGUAAAAUUGCGGGGCUCAACCCCGUACUGCCGUUGAAACUGGUUCCCUUGAGUGCGCGAGAAGUAUGCGGAAUGCGUGGUGUAGCGGUGAAAUGCAUAGAUAUCACGCAGAACUCCGAUUGCGAAGGCAGCAUACCGGCGCGCAACUGACGCUGAGGCACGAAAGCGUGGGGAUCGAACAGGAUUAGAUACCCUAGUAGUC